AUUGAACGCUGGCGGCAGGCCUAACACAUGCAAGUCGAACGAGUGGCGGACGGGUGAGUAAUGUCUGGGAACCUGCCCGAUAGAGGGGGAUAACUACUGGAAACGGUAGCUAAUACCGCAUACUAUCGGAUGUGCCCAGAUGGGAUUAGCUAGUAGGUGGGGUAACGGCUCACCUAGGCGACGAUCCCUAGCUGGUCUGAGAGGAUGACCAGCCACACUGGAACUGAGACACGGUCCAGACUCCUACGGGAGGCAGCAGUGGGGAAUAUUGCACAAUGGGCGCAAGCCUGAUGCAGCCAUGCCGCGUGUAUGAAGAAGGCCUUCGGGUUGUAAAGUACUUUCAGCGGGGAGGCGUUACCCGCAGAAGAAGCACCGGCUAACUCCGUGCCAGCCGCCGCGGUAAUUC
rnacentral:rRNA from 1 species